CGUACACGCCUCCGCCCCCUUCCUUCCGGCCUGCGCGCUGCGCGGGAAUCAGGGGGCGUGGAAGGCUGCGGGCGCCCGAGCACCGUGACUCGAGUCCUGUUCUCAGCGACCCUGGUGGCCGGCGGGACUAUCGGAGCCCCCCUUCAUACUCGGAGCUCCUUCCCACACCCUUUCUGUUUCCGGUCCACCGUUUUCCUCCAACCAGUGUGGCUGAGGCUCAGCCGGCAGCUGCUUCCUCCCCAGCUCUGCCUUGGAACAAAGAAGAUUAACCCCUGCUCCGGAUGAAAUCACAGCAUCCCCAGUUGCUAACUGCAAGGAGACAGGCUGCAACUGCAGGGAAUUCUCACUCAUAAAGACUAUGUUCUGGCAAUUGCCCAGCAUCACGCCCCUGUGGACGGCCUGCUGAUGAAGCUCCAGGUACCUCCACUCCAGCCUUGUAAAAUACAAGCUUAUUAUUAUGGAAAUAGUGAAAAUACUUUUGUACUGACUGAAGUGAUGAAUGCAUAACUAUGUGAUUAUACCACAUACGGUUGAUUGUACACUUUGGAUGAAUUGUACGCUUUAAUGAUAUGUACCAAUAAAUUGAUCUAUUAAAAAAAAAAAAAAAGCAAGGUCACAUCCUCAAAUGUCACAGGCUCCUGAAACAGCACAGCCAGGCUAACCUGACGUGGGCCCCAAUGGGUUCAACCACAGCACAGGGAUGCACUACCCCAU
rnacentral:lncRNA from 1 species